AUUGAACGCUGGCGGAAGGCCUAACACAUGCAAGUCGAGCGAGAGGCGGACGGGUGAGUAAUGUCUGGGAAACUGCCCGCUGGAGGGGGAGAAAAACUGGAAACGGAAGCUAAUACCGCAUACCAUCAGAUGUGCCCAGAUGGGAUUAGCUAGUAGGUGUGGUAACGGCUCACCUAGGCGACGAUCCCUAGCUGGUUUGAGAGGAUGACCAGCCACACUGUAACUCAGACACGGUCCAGACUCCUACGGGAGGCAGCAGUGGGGAAUAUUGCACGAUGGGUUCAAGCCUGAUGCAGCCAUGCCGCGUGUAUGAAGAAGGCCUUCGGGUUGUAAAGCACUUUCAGCGGGGAGGCGUUACCCGCAGAAGAAGCACCGGCUAACUCCGUGCCAGCAGCCGCGGUAAUUC
rnacentral:rRNA from 1 species